GACGAACGCUGGCGGCGUGCCUAAUACAUGCAAGUCGAACGCAGUGGGUACGGUUGAGUAACACGUGGGUAACCUCCCAUCAGAGGGGAUAACACUUGGAAACAGGUGCUAAACAGAUACUGUUGGAUGUACCCGCGGUGCAUUAGCUAGUGUGUGAGGUAACGUCUCACCAAGUCCACGAUGAAUAGCCGACCUGAGAGGGUGAUCGGCCACACUGGGACUGAUACACGGCCCAGACUCCUACGGGAGGCAGCAGUGGUGAAUCUUCGGCAAUGGACGAAAGUCUGACCGAGCAACGCCGCGUGAGUGAAGAAGGGUUUCGGAUCGUAAAACUCUGUUGUUAGAGAAGCGGUAUCUAACCAGAAAGCCACGGCUAACUACGUGCCAGCAGCCGCGGUAAUUC
rnacentral:rRNA from 1 species